GACGAACGCUGGCGGCGUGCUUAACACAUGCAAGUCGAGCGGAAAGGCCCUGCUUUUGUGGGGUGCUCGAGUGGCGAACGGGUGAGUAACACGUGAGUAACCUGCCCUUGACUUUGGGAUAACUUCAGGAAACUGGGGCUAAUACCGGAUAGGAGCUCCUGCUGCAUGGUGGGGGUUGGAAAGUCUCGGCGGUUGGGGAUGGACUCGCGGCUUAUCAGCUUGUUGGUGGGGUAGUGGCUUACCAAGGCUUUGACGGGUAGCCGGCCUGAGAGGGUGACCGGCCACAUUGGGACUGAGAUACGGCCCAGACUCCUACGGGAGGCAGCAGUGGGGAAUAUUGCACAAUGGGCGGAAGCCUGAUGCAGCAACGCCGCGUGCGGGAUGACGGCCUUCGGGUUGUAAACCGCUUUCGCCUGUGACGAAGCGUGAGUGACGGUAAUGGGUAAAGAAGCACCGGCUAACUACGUG
rnacentral:rRNA from 1 species